rnacentral:rRNA from 1 species
AUUGAACGCUGGCGGCAUGCCUUACACAUGCAAGUCGAACGGAUUUUGGGGCUUGCUCCAAAGUUAGUGGCGAACGGGUGAGUAAAGCAUCGGAACGUACCAGUCGUGGGGGAUAACGUAGCGAAAGUUACGCUAAUACCGCAUACGAUCUGAGGAUGAAAGCGGGGGACCUUCGGGCCUCGCGCGAUUGGAGCGGCCGAGGUCGGAUUAGCUAGUUGGUGAGGUAAAGGCUCACCAAGGCGACGAUCCGUAGCUGGUCUGAGAGGACGACCAGCCACACUGGGACUGAGACACGGCCCAGACUCCUACGGGAGGCAGCAGUGGGGAAUUUUGGACAAUGGGCGAAAGCCUGAUCCAGCCAUGCCGCGUGAGUGAAGAAGGCCUUCGGGUUGUAAAGCUCUUUCAGACGGAAAGAAAUCUCUCGGGUGAAUAUCCCGGGAGGAUGACGGUACCGUAAGAAGAAGCACCGGCUAACUACGUGCCAGCAGCCGCGGUAA